UUUAAGUUGCCUGCGAAACUACACUCCUUUUGCUCAUACAAUUUCACUAAAAUUAUUCUUUGGAAAUAUCUCUCUCUAUACCCAUCGAUUCUCUCUGUCCAAACCCUAUCCCCCAUUGAAUCUGCCUCCAAGCUCUACCACCGUCGUAAGCACUUCGUCUCUGUCGCCGUUGUCAGAAAAAUGAGAUGAUUGUCAUGAGGCAGAUUGUUGCUUUGAAUGUGCUAGAGGAGUAGCAUAUUUGGUGCAAUAAGCUUAUACUUGCUGGUAUUUUGUUUCUUUCAACUAUGUGAUGGUUCAAUUAUACUUGCUGGUAUUUUCUUUCUUUCUUUAACUUGAUAUUGUUUUGUGUGAUCAGUUGUGUCGUGUGGUGGAUGUUUUAUAUGAAAUAUAUCCAUAUAACCAUUAUUAGGACUAAUAAUUACUUGUAUGACGUGUGAAGUGGUUUUUUAUUUUUUGUCCUCAUUGUUUUGUGAUGUAUAUUGAUUCCCUUAUCCGUAUUAAUUCAUCCAUGUCUGUGGACUUUUCAAGGAAAGACAAAAAGAAGCCAUUAUGGAUAAAGAAUGGGUGAACUUUUCAAGGGUAAUUUUAAAGUCCCAAACUUUAGAUAUUAAGAUAGUGUAUAUUACAUGUAUAAUUCCUUAGUAAAAUGAUGAGUUUUUUUAUAUAUAGAGAUUCUAGAGUGUAACGUAAUGGGGCCAAAGGGUUUGUUGAUACGGUUCAAGCUAAUAACGGAGAUCCAAAAAAGAUUCAAUGCCCGUGCAGUUGUUGUUUAAACCUACAACAUCACCAUCAUGGUAUAGUUUAUGGGCACUUGGUCAUGAAUGGAAUGGAUCCUACGUAUACUAGGUGGAUCUUUCAGGGGGAAGAACCAAGUUCAUCAGUACAAGAUGAAUAUAGGGAAAUGCCAGAGACAUAUUUCAUUUAUAGAGAUGCAUUCCUUCAAGAUGAUGAUGUUGUUGAACCUACACAAGAUAGAGAAGAGCUGAAUUUUAAAAAUUUAGUGGAUGACGCAGAACUUCCCUUAUACACGGGUUGUUCUUACACAAAGAUGUCUGCAAUUGUUGUCUUAUACAAGUAUAAGGCUAGGCAUAGUCUAACUGAUAUAGCUUUUGACGGGCUUCUUCAUCUUCUUCAUGGUUUUCUACCACGUGAUAACAGACUUCCAAAUUCUUUGUAUAUAACCAAAAAAUUACUCAAUGAUUUUGAUCUAGGAUAUGAGAAGAUACAUGCUUGUGUGCAAGAUUGCUGUUUAUUUAGAAAAGAUUUAAAGGAGAGGGAGACAUGUCCAAAGUGUGGUUCUUCACAGUGGAAAAUUAAUGAGCGUACCAAAAAAAUUCAACAAGGAGUCCCUCCAAAGAUCUUGCUUUACUUUCCAAUCAUACCAAGAUUUAGGAGAAUGUUUAAGUCACCGGAAAAGGCAGAAUCAUUACACUGAUAGAAGUCAUGACGGUAAGAUGCGACAUCCAGUUGACGCAUUGGCAUCGAAUGGGAUUGAUAAUAAGUGGCCUUCUUUUGCUUCAGAUCCACGUAAUCUUAGACUAGGCCUUUCAUCUGAUGGAUUUAAUCCUUUCGAUGAUCUUAGUUCUAAAUAUAGUUGUUGGCCCGUGAUUUUGGUUGCAUAUAAUCUCCUCCCAUCUCUAUGCAUGUCCAAGGAGAAUUUAAUGUUGACAUUACUCAUCCCAGGGCCAAGGCAACCCAGAAACGAUAUAGAUAUAUAUUUGGAACCACUUGUAGAAGAUUUGAAAGAGUUAUGGAUCAAUGGUGUAAGUGUUUAUGAUGCUUUCAACAAGUCCACAUUCAAUCUGAAAGCAUAUUGAUGUGGACAAUAAACGACUUUCCAGCUUAUGGGAAUUUGUCCAGAUAUUCCACGAAGGGUUAGAAAGCAUGUCCAGUGUACGGGGUUGACACAUGUUCAAAGUGGCUGACUCAUAGUAGAAAGUGUGUGUACAUGAAUUAUAGAAGGUUUCUUGCACACAACCAUCCAUUUUGAGGAAAAGCAGGGUGGUUUGAUGGACUAUAGAAUGUGGACAAAAGCCUAGAACAUUAACCGGUUCAGAAGUUCUUCAAGUUGUGAAGAAUUUCAAUAAUGAUUGGGGAAAAGCAAAGAAAAAGAUCAACACAAAAAGGAAGAGAAAGACAGAUAAAUAUUCUAUAUGGCCUUGGAAAAAGAAAUCAGUUUUCUUUGAGUUGCCUUAUUGGGAGAGUGAGAGUGAAGAUUGAGCAGACAUAAGUAAUGGUUGUUGAAUCCUCAAAACAGGGAAAAAAGAAAGCAAAGAAGCAGCGAUUGGAUGUUGCUGCUGCUGCAACAAUUGUCGCAGCAAGGAAUAGAUCCUUGCGUAUAUCAGAUAGAGGUUCUAAUUCUCCAUCUCGAGAUGAACCCAAUGAAGUACCAAUAGUCAAGGAAUGCAAGAAGACAACUCUAACAAAGAAGCACCAAAGAAGAAGACUUAGGGGUAAGGCAAAGUUGUUAAGUCUUACCAAAGGAAAAACGAAGGGGUCUCGUGUUGUUGUAGAGUUCAAUCUGGCAGACCAACCAUUUAGAGAUAAUGCAGCAAGAUUUUCUUCAUUCCUAGGGAUCACAGCAAGAGAACUAGUGCCAAUAACAUUGAAGAGUUGGAAAGAUAUGUCAGACAAUUUUAUAAAUCAAAUAUGGGAACAUAUCACGGUCUUGUAUAGCAGAGCCUUCACACAUCCAUAUUAUAUUUUAUUUCUCAUUUCCAUCUAAAGUAAUAUGUAUGUUUUUUAUUUUUUUAUUUUUGUAGCAAAAGUUCAGUCUUGAUGAUUGCCACAAGAAAUAUACUUUUUGAAAGUUACACAAACUUUGGAGGGAUCAUCGAUCUAAUUUAGUGAAUAUGGUGAUGAAGUAAGCUCAAGUGGUUGGCCUACCACGCCCUACUUCUCUUCUCAAACCGGACAAUGUAAAAACUAUGGACGAAUGGAUCUCAUUUCUUAAAGAACGAACUAGUCAAGAAACUAGAGGAAAGUGUCAAAAGUUCAAGGAAAUGAGGGUUAACACAAACUUUAGUGCAUAGAACGAGUCGUAAAAGCUUUGCCUGCAUAGAGGAUGAACUGCCACAGAAAAGUGAGACACCUGAUGCAAUUUCAAGGACUGAUGUUUGGAUCUAUGGAUACGAAAAGAGAAAGAAGAAUGAGGAUGAUGACGUUGAGGAUCCAGAUUUAGUGGUGAAAACUGUUUGCUGCAUAUUUUUAGUGUUUAUCCUGUGAUUGAUAUUUAAGUUUUUAUUUUUCUGGUGGUCAAUUUUCAGAAAGAAGUGAAAAAGUACAAAAAAGAACAAGGACAACAAAAAUGUUCUAUUACAGAUGAUGCUGUAGUAAAAGUACUCGGUCCUGAUCCACGAGGAAGAGUAAGAGGAAUGGGGUUUGGGGCAACGGUUUCAAAGAUUGAAGGUCAAGUUCGUGUUCGUGAUCAAUUUAAUAGAUUGGAAAAUGAGAUUAUAGAAUUGAAAAACCAAAUGACAGAUCUUCUUACUCGAAUAGUAAAGGGGAGAUUAAUAUUGAGAAGGAAAACUAAGUGUCCAAUAUUCUGCUAAUGAGAGUGUACAAAGCAAACAAAAGGUAAAUAAUAAUGUUCAAAAUUCUGCUAAUGAGAUGGCACAAAGCAAACAAAAGGAAAAUCCAGCUGAGAAUGCAAAGUGUAAACUGUUAAAUUGGAUUGGGACAAGUGAAGUUGUUGGAAUUAGGGAAAUUGCAUCAACUGAUCCCAAUUCAUUAGUCCAUCAUGUGCCUCUUGGUCACGAGUGCUGGAAAGUUUGGGUGAAUGAUGUAAUGGAUGAUAAUAUGGCCUUGUUUCGACCAGCAUGUGAGUUCUUUCUUCUUCGUGAAGCAUUAGGAACUACGAUUGCAUGGCCUAUCAAGUACAUCAAAUUGUGUUAGCGUUGCAUCUUUGAGGUUUUUCUCAAAGGGUCAAAGAAUGCUCAUGAAUAUUGUCUACUGCUAAAGGACAUUAUUUUAGCAUAGGUUCAUGUUAGAGACUUAUUUUUGUUGCUAACGUCACUAGUGAAUGAAUUCGAGGCUAUGAAAAUGUUUGGGAAUGUUUGGCAGCACUCUUAUGUGUUUCUUAUGUACUCUUAAGAGUUCGUAUUUUGAAUUGAUUAUGAUGGUGAUUUCAAUGAUUAGUUUUUUUUUAUAUA